rnacentral:rRNA from 1 species
GGAUUUACUGGGCGUAAAGGGCGCGUAGGCGGCGCGGUAAGUCACUUGUGAAAUCUCUGAGCUUAACUCAGAACGGCCAAGUGAUACUGCAGUGCUAGAGUGUGGAAGGGGCAAUCGGAAUUCUUGGUGUAGCGGUGAAAUGCGUAGAUAUCAAGAGGAACACCUGAGGUGAAGACGGGUUGCUGGGCCAACACUGACGCUGAUGCGCGAAAGCCAGGGGAGCAAACGGG